UCGAUUGAGUUUGAUCAUGGCUCAGGAUAAACGCUGGCGGCGUGCCUAAUGCAUGCAAGUCGCACGGGAAGUUCUUUCGGGGACUUCGAGUGGCGAACGGGUGAGGAACACGUGGACAACCUACCCCGGCGUGGGGAAUACCCUUCAGAAAUGAAGGCUAAUACCGCGUACGGUCGUUUGGGACAGCCCGAACGAAGAAAGCAGCAAUGCGCGCUGGGAGGGGUCUGCGGCCGAUUAGCUUGUUGGUGGGGUAACGGCCUACCAAGGCGAUGAUCGGUAGCGGGUCUGAGAGGACGAUCCGCCACACGGGGACUGAGACACGGCCCCGACUCCUACGGGAGGCAGCAGCAAGGAAUUUUCCGCAAUGGGGGCAACCCUGACGGAGCAACGCCGCGUGAUGUAUGACGCCUCUUGGGGUGUAAACAUCUUUUGACGGGGAGGAGAACGGACAGUACCCGUCGAAUAAGGACCGGCUAACUACGUGCCGGCAGCCGCGGUAAUACGUAGGGUCCGAGCGUUGUCCGGAAUUACUGGGCGUAAAGCGCGCGCAGGCGGCUUUUCAAGCGCCACGUGAAAGCCCCGGGCUCAACCCGGGAGGGUCGUGGUGAACUGGAAAACUUGAGGCCGGUAGAGGUGGGUAGAAUUCCUGGUGGAGUGGUGAAAUGCGUAGAGAUCAGGAAGAAUACCCGUGGCGAANGCGGCCCACUGGGCCGGACCUGACGCUGAGGCGCGAAGGCGUGGGGAGCGAACGGGAUUAGAUACCCCGGUAGUCCACGCAGUAAA
rnacentral:rRNA from 1 species